CGGCCGGAGGCCUGCCUGGGGGGCGGGAGGGGGGCGAAGCUGCAGGAAAUCGUGUCCUAAACCGCCUGCUGGCAGAGGUGACGGGGUCCCAGGUGGAGAGGGGGAGGCUGAGGCACCAGGACCCGACGCCGCGUUCUGGGACCUGCCAACGGCGGAGCUGGAGCACCGAGGGGCGACGGCAGAGCGUCCUCACCGCGGGAGCCGACCGGUCCAGGUGGUUCGGGAACUCGGAUUUCCAGGACUGUCUACGGGAACCCACCGCCGAGAAACCCUGACCCGCAAGCCCUCCAAGCAGUGACCGCGGGGACGCGGGGCUGGGAAAUCGGAGUGAGAGCCGAGGUUUUGCACCUGCCUGGCGUUCUGGGAAGUGUGCGCGCCUGGUGACCCGCGAGCAAAUCUGGAAGGAGGGAAGAGUGCUGGAGAGCAAGGAGCGCAGAGCUGAGGCUGCGGCCCGCAGGGGUGCGGACGUGCGGGCUGCUCCGGGCGCAGACCCGCGCGCAGCUGGGCCCCCGCCGCGCCCCGCAUCCCUCCUCCCGCCGGGGAGCCUCCCGUGUGUUCCCGCACUGGGGUGGUGGGCCCGCACUGUCUCCGCAAACCCGAGUCGUCCAAAGUAACGAUGGUCUUUUCCCUCCCUGUGGCCGGUGGUGGUUUGCAGGGAAGGUACGUGACCCUCUGGCGGACGCGCACACAGCCAGUCCGCGUCAGGACCGGUUUUCUCAGGAUAAAAAGAGAAAUACGAGAGGUCAACUAUGCGUCUUCGUUUAGCCUUGCGAUUCGAUUUUCAAGGAAUAUGGU